CCUUGGUCCAAAAAAAUGAAAAUUAGGUCAAGGUCAAAGGUCAAGGUCAUAUUUUAAUUUUUGAAUUAGGCUUAUUUCCACUCAUUUCCAGAAACCGUAUAAGAUAUCCACAAAUUAUUUUGACUAAAUUAUUAGUUGCGACAUGUCGUAACUUAAUAAUUUUAGUUGAAAGGGUGCGUAGACAAUGAAUGGGAGUUUUUGCCCCUAUCAUAUCUAAAAUUAUGUGUAAAGUGAUAUAACUUAUUAACCAUACAUAUUAGAGACCUAGGGUCUUUUGAUUUGAGAUUCUCAGUUUGUGACCUUGAAAUUGAGGUCAAGGUCAUAGGUUAAUUUAACGUUCUAGAUUUUGACCUUUUCUUUAAAUUCAUAUUUAUACAUCAUAAAGCCAUAUGAACUGACAUUUUAGACUGAUUUUUAAUAUUUUAAUAUCAAAAUAGAUAUAAACUGGUGGAAAGACCUUCAAUUGUUCUUUGAACAAUUGGUUUUUAAUUUUUUUUUCUUUUUCUUCCGCCUAAUUUUGUUCUUGCGAUAAAUAUUUGUUUCGCAAUAUGUCGCUUAGAUAUUUGGUAUAUGAUAUCGAACAGUUUAUGCGCUUUUGAAAUUUACCCUGCAUAACCAAAUACUUUUCUUUGUAGGAGUUAUCUCCCCAAACACUGUUUUUUUUGUGUCCACGACUCCUUCGCAACCGUAAAAGAUUACGACAAAUUUAUUUUAUAAAAUUGCUCGUUAUAUCCUUCGCAAGAUUUGUCCAAUUUCGACCGAAGCAAUAUGAACGCUCCAUAUGAGAGUCAUUUCCCCUUUUGUAUUUGAAAUUUUGAAAUGUAUUUUAAACUGGAACACC
rnacentral:lncRNA from 1 species